ACACCUGAAAGGACAUUUACUGAAAAGUAGACUCCCAAAACAAAAAUAUGUAUUUCACAGCUAGAUACGGUCGCUAUUAGCGUCCUAAUGGCCAACUCCAUCCAUGUGCGUAUUUUGAACACUAAAAACGCCUCCUGUUACCCCUAAGACCUUGUUUGGAUAACAUUUUUCUAUUAUAAGUACUCGAAACCAACCCCAUUUAAGAUGUUUACCCUUAUUCUUGAGUCCUUGAUGGUUUGGGAAAUUUAUCAUUAUUCAUAUUGCACAAUCCUGUCACUGUCUUUUCCAUUAGGCACAGUGCCUAAGGUCCACAAUAUUUUUAGAGGCCCACAAAAAAUAUUUUAAUUUCUUUUCAAAUCAGAAGGAAAAAAAAUUUAGGUUUAAGAAAGUAUUUUAAUAUAUAUUAAUAUAUUUGUUUUUGUGCUAAUACAAUCUUAAAAUGUAUGUAUAUAUGUGUGUGUGUAUAUGUAUAUAUAUUUUAAUGGAGUAAGGGGCUCAACGAAGGCAAAAAGGCCUAGAGCCCAAGAAAAACAUGAUGUGGCCCUGUUGCCUGGGGUUGAAAAAUCCCAUUCCAUGAGAAGAAUUUAGUUUUAAGAAUAUUACAUAAAAUGCUCAUUUCUGUGGCCUUGCUAUAAUAGAAAGAUGGAGAUUCAGAGUAGUGAUAAUGGCUAACAUCCACCUGAUACACACCAUGUGUCCAUUACCUCUUAAUCCUCACAGCACACCUGUGAAAUAGGUACUAUUCUCACACUUAGGGGGUAAUGCAGGUUUUGUGGGGCCUGCAAUUUAUGCAAUUUGGGUGGUCCUCUUAAAGAAAAAGCAAAUACUGUGUAUUAGUCCGUUCUCACACUGCUAUAAAGAACUGCGCGAGACUGGGUAAUUUAUAAAGGAAAGAGGUUUAAUUGACUCACAGUUCCACAUGGCUGGGGAGACCUCAGGAAACUUAACAAUCGUGGUGGAAGGAGAAGCAAGUACCUUCUUCACAAGGAAGCGGAAAGAAUUGUGAGCGGAGGAACUUGCCAAACACAAAACCGUCAGAUCGCGUGAGAAUUCAGUUACUAUCACGAGAACAACACGGGAAAACUGUCCCCAUAAUCAAGUCAUUUCUCUCCCUAACAAGUGAGGAUUACAAUUCAAGAUGAGGUUUGGGUAGGAACACAAAGCCUGACCCUAUCCCACAGCAUGUCCAGGCUGCCCUAGCACCACCCAAUAGAAGGGAAAAUGGCAGAGGGAAAGUCCUAGUGGAAAGAGACCUCAGUCUCAGCUAAUUGUGGUGACAAUAUAUUGCUUUUGCAAAUUGUACAUAAACAUAUGACCAGGUGAAUGUAUCGCCAAGGCUCCUGCCAAGGCCUGGGAUGGAGGCCUAGAGAAGAUGCCCGAAAGUUUAUGCUGUGUGAGCUUCACAGAAGACCUGCCUUCCAUGUAUACCCAUUUUACAGGUGUCUGUGCGGUGCAGAAACUGUACAACUGUAUACAGUGACCAUUUCUACUCUGGGUCUCUAAACAAGGGCUGGUAUCGUUACAGAGACUGAAGACUGAGGAAGACCAUCUCUGUAGGAUGCCAAGGAUUGACUGGAGAAAGUCUGGGUUCUACCUUGACAGUCUCAUCCAUGGUCUCAGCUGUGGCUUCUAGGAUGAUGACUCAAGCCCUGAUGUCUUUCCUGAUCAUUUUGGGCCUGAUUCUCUGGAACUGCGGGAGGAAGCUGAAUGCUGGUCCACCUUUUAACAAUGUGGCCAGCAGCCCUGGGUUGAUACUGGAAGCAAACAUUAGUCUGGUAAACUACACAAGGACAAAGGUAGAACAGGACACACAGGGGUAACACUGACCUUAGAGGGGUGUUAUGGACUGAAUAUUUGUGUUCUGCUCAAAAUUCGUAUGUUGAAACAUAUGUCUAUCUCAUGAUUUCGCUCCCCUCUAAUGUAAUGGUAGUAGAAAGUGGGGUCUUUGGAAGGUAUUUAGGAUUAGACGAGGUUACAAGAUGGAGCCUUCAUGCAUGGGAUUAGUGUCCUUAAAGAGAGUCCUGAGAGAGCUUGCUUCCUCUUUCUGCCACGUGAGGACACAGGGAGAAUACUGCUGUCUAUGAACCAGAAAAUAAGCCCUCUCUAGACACCUUAUCUGCUGACACCUUGAUCUUGGCCUUCCCAGCC
rnacentral:lncRNA from 1 species